CCUUGAGUAAGUUCGAUACGUGAAGAAACGGAAAGGAAGAAUGGCGGCGCUUCGUUAAAGAGUUUCAUAGUGGCUUUGAAGAGACGUCACUCAAGCUGUCUCUGCUAACCCUGAGGCCCAAGUUAUUUCCAGUCGAGGCUAGAGAACCAGAACCAGAACCUUAAAGCUCAUCUACCUGGACAUUAAGGUUUGAAACUGACUGGAUAUGACGGAUGAGAUCUCCUGAGGAAACUCAUCACUCCUACGACUGCAGCUGCAGAGAACCAAGCAGGAGGUCAUGAACGAGACUCUGUUGGACAACUGUGAGCCAGCAUGGAAACAAACUCCUCAUCCAUAAACCAAACAAGACGGAGGAGAUCAUUGAGGCAUUAGCCGAAGAGUAAGUCCUGGGAGGGAAGGUGGAGAUGAAUGGAAGAUCUGCGUUUCAUGGAAAUAAACCUCCGAAGCUCUCUGAACUCACUUUCGGUCCAAUAUAAUCUAUGUGAAGUUCAUAAAUUAAUUUCAUUACUUGUUUUGGGGCUGCA